GUGUUUGCUAUGGCAACACACUUACUAAAAUUGGACCAACACAGAGGAGAUUAGCACAAGGAUGGCAUGCAAAAUCACAUUUUUUAGUAUUUUUUA
ensembl:snRNA U6 U6 spliceosomal RNA